rnacentral:tRNA from 1 species
GGAAUCGGCCGGGAACCGAUCCCGGGCCGACCGCGUGGCAGGCGAGCAUUCUACCACUGAACCACCGAUGC